AGGGGCCCUGGGACCUGGCGCCAGCUUCCUUGCCUGGCCAGCUGCCUUUGCACACUGCAGGUGGCCAGAAUUUCCUGGAUCCCCAGGGAAAAAGGAGCAUGUUGGAAGAGACCAUGCAGUAGAAGUCUCCUCAUCACAGGUCACAUUCCUAGAGGGAGGAGUUCCAGCUACCCAAGAGGAUGCUCCAUUAACGUCCUUAACUCACUGACCAAUGAACAGCCAAAGCUGGGCACUGCAUAGAUGCUAGAAACGUGAAAAUGAGGAUGAGGGCAAUGGCAGUAACAGCCUUCAAGUGUCUUCCUUCUAGAAGACUGAUGACUUGGUAAAAGGAAAAAGGAAUUUUCCUGUUACAUAAGUUCCACUUUUUCUUCCCUACUCUUUGUUUUUCACACAUAUAUAUAUUAUAUUUAUA
rnacentral:lncRNA from 1 species